GACGAACGCUGGCGGCGUGCUUAACACAUGCAAGUCGAACGGAAAUGCCCUGCUUUUGUGGUGUGCUCGAGUGGCGAACGGGUUAGUAACACGUUAGUAACCUGCCCUUUACUUUGGGAUAACUUCAGGAAACUGGGGCUAAUACCGGAUAGGAGCUCCUGCUGCAUGUUGUGGGUUGGAAAGUUUCGGCGGUUGGGGAUGGACUCGCGGCUUAUCAGCUUGUUGGUGGGGUAGUGGCUUACCAAGGCUUUGACGGGUAGCCGGCCUGAGAGGGUGACCGGCCACAUUGGGACUGAGAUACGGCCCAGACUCCUACGGGAGGCAGCAGUGGGGAAUAUUGCACAAUGGGCGGAAGCCUGAUGCAGCAACGCCGCGUGCGGGAUGACGGCCUUCGGGUUGUAAACCGCUUUCGCCUGUGACGAAGCGUGAGUGACGGUAAUGGGUAAAGAAGCACCGGCUAACUACGUG
rnacentral:rRNA from 1 species